AACGCACCUUGCGCUCCUUGGUAUUCCGAGGAGCAUGCCUGUUUGAGUGUCAUUAAAUUCUCAACCUUUGUCAACUUUUGUUAGCAAAUGGCUUGGAUGUGGGGGUAUGCAGGUUUCUCUUUUGAAAUCAGCUCCUCUGAAAUAUAUUAGCUGGUUGCCUUGUGUAUACCUGUCUAUUGGUGUGAUAAUUAUCUACGCCAUUGGCUAGGUUGCCGUUUGUAGCACUGCUUCUAACUGUCUGUUCAUUUGGACAAUUAUAUUACAAUUUGACCUCAAAUCAGGUAGGACUACCCGCUGAACUUAA
rnacentral:misc_RNA from 1 species